CGAAACUAACUUAAAUAACACACAUAUAUCGACACAGUGUUCGGGGUGUUUUCUACUAGUUUAUCAGUAGAGGAUCGAGUACUGGGAUAUAUGGAGGCCUAAC
rnacentral:sRNA from 1 species